UCUCCUCGCCGGUAUUGGAAGUUAGGGGUCUCCAAGUGUACUGGGGCUUGGUGUCGGCCGCUGCUGCCAAUAAAGCCCCGUUGAGCUCUCGUCUGCCCGUCCGUCCGUCUAGUCUUUGUUUAGUAUUGAUUUUCUGUUAUGCUGCUUCUUCAGCACAAUAGGGUCAACAUCGGCUGAAAGGGGCAAGGAAAUAUCCUUCAACUACUUGGCUACCUAACCUAACGAUAAGCUCAUGUUUAGAUCAAAGUCUGCAUUCCAACCAACAGAAAAAAACACCCUUUUUAACAAAAAGAAUCAACAGUCUGAGAAUCAAACGUUCGUAUUAUAGUCGGGUUUCCUGGUCGUAAGAAUCUUAAUGGAAUAACUUAUUGACGCUGGGGUAUGCAACAACGUCUAUGGUGUAUGUGGCGGUUGCAGACUCGUCAAUUGCACAUGUGGCGGUUGUUGUCUUUUUCUUGUGGCAGUGGAGGUGGACGAA
rnacentral:sRNA from 1 species